rnacentral:rRNA from 1 species
UACAGAGGUGGCAAGCGUUGUUCGGAAUUACUGGGCGUAAAGGGCGCGUAGGCGGUGUGUCAAGUCAGGCGUGAAAGCCCCGGGCUCAACCUGGGAACAGCGCUUGAGACUGGCACGCUCGAGUUCGGGAGAGGAUGGUGGAAUUCCCAGUGUAGAGGUGAAAUUCGUAGAUAUUGGGAAGAACACCGAUGGCGAAGGCAGCCAUCUGGACCGACACUGACGCUGAGGCGCGAAAGCGUGGGGAGCAAACAGG